AACAAAAACCCGGUAGACAGCCUGCAGUACCGCGCCUCGUCCUGUAUUUGCGCUUCUUCGGAGGACGUUCUGAGGUACCCAGUGCAGUGAUCAAGAUAUUUGAAAACAAAGACCACCUAGCCUGGUUUCCCUGUGCCCUUGGAGGCAGCAAACAAAGAGCAAUAAACAGAGGAGUUUGCACAGGACUUGGAAGUUAUUCAGAAUGCAAGGUAACGCACUGCAGGAUCAAUGACAUGAAUGUCUGCUAUA